rnacentral:rRNA from 1 species
GGCUGCAACUCGCCUGCACGAAGUCGGAAUUGCUAGUAAUCGUAGGUCAGCAUACUACGGUGAAUACGUUCCCGGGCCUUGUACACACCGCCCGCCAAACCAUGAGAGUUGGCAACACCCGAAGUCGGUAGUCUAACCGCAAGGAGGACGCCGCCGAAGGUGGGGUUGAUGAUUAGGGUUAAGUCGUAACAAGGUACC